rnacentral:rRNA from 1 species
UGCUUUUAUCGAAAGUGGCGCACGGGUGCGUAACGCGUAUGCAACCUACCUUUAUCUGGGGGAUAGCCCGGAGAAAUCCGGAUUAAUACCGCAUAAAAUCACAGGAUGGCAUUAUCCAAUGAUCAAACAUUUAUGGGAUGAAGAUGGGCAUGCGUGUCAUUAGCUAGUUGGCGGGGUAACGGCCCACCAAGGCGACGAUGACUAGGGGAUCUGAGAGGAUGGCCCCCCACACUGGUACUGAGACACGGACCAGACUCCUACGGGAGGCAGCAGUAAGGAAUAUUGGUCAAUGGAGGCAACUCUGAACCAGCCAUGCCGCGUGCAGGAAGACUGCCCUAUGGGUUGUAAACUGCUUUUAUCCGGGAAUAAACCUGAGUACGUGUACUCAGCUGAAUGUACCGGAAGAAUAAGGAUCGGCUAACUCCGUGCCAGCAGCCGCGGUAAUACGGAGGAUCCAAGCGUUAUCCGGAUUUAUUGGGUUUAAAGGGUGCGUAGGCGGCCUGUUAAGUCAGGGGUGAAAGACGGUAGCUCAACUAUCGCAGUGCCCUUGAUACUGAUGGGCUUGAAUGGACUAGAGGUAGGCGGAAUGAGACAAGUAGCGGUGAAAUGCAUAGAUAUGUCUCAGAACACCGAUUGCGAAGGCAGCUUACUAUGGUCUUAUUGACGCUGAGGCACGAAAGCGUGGGGAUCAAACAGGAUUAGAUACCCUGGUAGUCCACGCCCUAAACGAUGAACACUCGCUGUUGGCGAUACACAGU